CAGGUGGUGGCCCAGCAGUUCUGACAAACUACAGUCCUGUUGAAGAAGCUAUGUUGACACUGAUUGAGCCUGUUGCUAUUACUGGCUUACCAGGGGGUUUAUGAAAAUGAGACUGAAGUAGAUGAUGUUACAGAACCAACUCCUGGGCCAUCUGGGAUAGCAUCUCAGAUCAUAACAACUCAGCAGUUAUUGUAACAUUGGAUGAGGGAACUUCAGCAGAGCAAGAAAUGACAAUACCCAUUGUGUCAAUGGACCACACUCCUCAGAAUUAGCUCCUUUUUUAAUAGAACACAGUAACACUCAGGAUGGAUUUAGUGCAACAGUCCAACAAGCAGAGCACUUUCAAGAAGAGAGCAUCUCAGCUUGAGUCAGGAGGAGGUAGUAGGCUUGAGGUAGUGCAUGGUCAAAAAAGCAGAUCAGAAGAAAGGAGAAUUUUGCCUGACAUGCUUCAGGUACAAACAAAUAUAGAAAGUCACUUGAAACAGCUUGUAAGCUCAGUGAAAGACGCUGCAUCGGCAUUACAAACAAUUGCUGAUGCUAUGAAAGAUAAGGCGUACGUUCCUAUUUUUGUCAAAUGUUAUAAUAUUUUAGUUUUUCUUAAUCUAGUACACAGUUGACAUUAAUUUUGUGAUGGGCAUUUGUAUAUUUAACAAAGUCAUAAUAUGAAGUUGUGGCUUGAGAGACUGUUAUUAUACAAAAUAAGUCUUUAUUUUGGAGUUACUUUAUUAUUUUUUUUAUUGUAGAUUAAGACAAAAAUCCAUUAAAUAUUAUUUAUUUUUGUUCAUGUUAAUGUUUGCAUUGAGGUUGUGAGAAGUGUUUUUUGUUUUUUGUUGUAGGUUAAGACCAUUUUUUUGAGUCAGGAUUUUAUUUAUUUAUUUAUU